AUUGAACGCUGGCGGCAGGCCUAACACAUGCAAGUCGAACGGUAACAGGAAGACUCUUGCUUCUUUGCUGACGAGUGGCGGACGGGUGAGUAAUGUCUGGGAAACUGCCUGAUGGAGGGGGAUAACUACUGGAAACGGUAGCUAAUACCGCAUAACGUCGCAAGACCAAAAAGGGUGACCUUCGGGCCUCUUGCCAUCGGAUGUGCCCAGAUGGGAUUAGCUAGUAGGUGGGGUAACGGCUCACCUAGGCGACGAUCCCUAGCUGGUCUGAGAGGAUGACCAGCCACACUGGAACUGAGACACGGUCCAGACUCCUACGGGAGGCAGCAGUAGGGAAUAUUGCGCAAUGGGCGAAAGCCUGAUGCAGCCAUGCCGCGUGUAUGAAGAAGGCCUUCGGGUUGUAAAGUACUUUCAGCGGGGAGGAAGGGAGUAAAGUUAAUACCUGUGCUCAUUGACGUUACCCGCAGAAGAAGCACCGGCUAACUCCGUG
rnacentral:rRNA from 1 species